rnacentral:lncRNA from 1 species
GGCAGGGCACAAUAUUAUUUUGUCCUAUUGCUGGUACUGUUCACUUUAGUCCCUUCAAUAAGGUGGUAUCUGCCUAUGCUGUUCCCUGUGAAGUUAUUCUUUUCCCCUUUGCAGUGGAUAAGUAUUUUUUUCCCCAUGGGAAGAUAUUUUAAGACUAUGUAAGAUCCCCUUUCUUAUCUGGAAUCUAAUAUAUGACACAAAUGAAACUUUCCAUCGAAAAGAAACUCAUGGACUUGGAGAACAGACUUGUGGUGGCCAAAGGGGAUGGGGAGGCAUAGGUCCUUGUUACUUAUUUAUUUAUAUAUAGUAGUGUGUAUAUGUUAAUUCCCACUUCCUAAUUUAUCUCUCCUCCUCACAUUUCCCCUUUGGCAACCAUAAAGUUGAUUUCUAUGUCUAUUUCUGUUUUGUAAGUAAGUUCAUUUGCAUCAUUUUCUCAGAUUCCACAUGUAAGUGAUAGCAUAUGGUAUUUGUCCUUUUCUGGCUUACUUCACUUAGUAUGAUCAUCUCUAGAUCCAUCCGUGUUGCUGCAAAUGGCAUGAUCAUGAUUUUUUAUUUUACUUUAUUUUUAAAGACUUUUUUAUUAUUUUUUUUAACAGAACAGUUUUAAGUCCAGCGCAAAAUUGAGAGGGAAGUACAGAGAUAAUGUCUCCUCCACUAUCACCACCCCUACCUGAGUGUACAUUUCUUACAACUCUAUUUAAUCGAUUAUAAUCUGUUACUUUGUAUUUAUUAUGACCUUCAAAUUAUCCUGGACUUGGCCAGUGGGAGCCGUUCACUUUGGCUUUUGACAAGUCCCCAUCAUUUUUUGAAUAUUUCCUCACUUUCAGAUAUGUAGAAUAUUCUAAGCUCAUCUUGUACUUUUUCGUCCUCAGCCUUGGAACCAGCUAUUUUUUCAAAAAGAUCCUGUUUCCAGUGGAUAAAGAUCUUUAGAAAGGAAAGUCUGGGUGCGAGGUACAUAUUUCUUUUGCCCUUAUUGUAUCCUCUUAGUGGACAGAGCUGGCACUGCAUAGACAGACAGAUACACACACACACACCCUAUAUUUCUCUAUCACAUAGCUAAUUUGUUCAGCACAGUUUACACUGAAUCCUUCAACUCUAAUCAGCACCUAGGAUUUCUUUCUAAACUGGUAACUCCAUUCUCCAGCAGUGAAAAAACCUGCACAAUUACCCCUAACAUGCUUAAUGAUUAAUCAGCAUGUAGGCAACUCACUUCCUUACUGAUCCUGCCCCUUUCCUCAGGGGUAUUAUCCUCACUCUAUUCAGGUUGUAAGUAACCCCCAUCCCCAGCUGCUGCCGUGGCCCCCUCCCCCAUAUGGGCACCCUCUUUUCUGCGGUGGGGCUCUUAACACCUCUGCCCGCCCUGCGCUGGGCCUCUCUCCCACCAGAAACCUUCCUCAUCCCCCAUGAUGGCGAAUCCCCCCACACCUAGACCUCCUCCUCAUCCAACCUGGGCUCCACUUCCCUGCACCAGGCCACCUGCCCCCCAUAACGCCCUCCUCAUUGUACUUUGGCUCUGACCCCCUGCACCAGGCACCCUCCUUAGCUCUGACACCCUGCCCUGCCCCAUGACUCGGAGAAAAGGCUUGGGCUCUGACACAGACACUGAGGGCCAGGCUGCCCCCGCACGGAUGUCUUCUUACCUCGCUAGAGAGCUGAUAUCCCACCACAACGGUCUUCCUGGGUGGACGUGCAUCUCACCUUCAUCGUGCUCCUAAACCUCACUCAGGGGGCCCAGGGACUCCCCUGUGCCCAGGUGGAUCCCUACCAGGCUCUGCCACACCUGAUUGUCCAGGAAAGUAAGUGCAGGGAAGAGAAGAGAGCUGUUGGUUUACUAGUAACUAGGGAUUUCUAAUAUUUGGUCUUUAGUUACCCCUGUAUUUUAAUGUCUGGCCCUUUCGUUUUUCUGUGAUAAGAAUCUAUGGACCUAGCAUUUUAGGAGACAGAAGUGACCUGGAAUAGUUUUAUUCUUGUUAGACAGUAACUUCUGCUGACUUUCUCUUGAUCAGAUUGGAGUUAACACAGAACCUUCUCAGUCUGGCCCCAACCUAUGUCUCUUGCCUCCUCUCCACAUCCUUUGUGCCCUGUGACUCAGCACUUCAGCUCCUCUGAACUUCUUGCCCCGAAGCAAAUCUGUUCUCUCACACACUUGCAUCUGGUUUUUCUUCUUCCCAGCAUGCCCCCACCUCCUUUUCUACCUGGAAAGCUCUGACUCAUUCUUUAAGAUGCAGAUUAAAUGUCAUCAGUGAAAUCUUUCCCAACUCCCUGAGGACAGAAGGUGUUUCCUGCCUCUGGAGGGAGUAUUUGGAGCUCAGAUUGUUAAACUGCCUCCCACUGGCUGUGUAACUUUGGACAAAUUGCUUAUCCUCAAUGAAUCUCCGUUUCUUCUUCUCUGAAGUGAGGGUGAUAAGGUAAUUCUAUCAACCUCAUAAAAUUGUUAUAAAGGAAAAUUUUGAUAAUGGAUCACCCAACACAAAUUGUCAUAUGCUUAUUAUUACUAUUGUAAUAUUACCUGAUUAAACUCCCACAAAAGAUCCUGUGUUCUUUCUUAGAUAUGGUCCCAGAACUUAAUCCAACAUUCGAAACAUAAUUUGAUAAAGAUUUUCUGAAGAAGUUUAUUCGGUCUGUAAAUAUUUUUAAGUGUACUCAGUGCCAGUCAUGCAUUAGGCAAUAUUAUGACCAAAGCAGAGAUGCCCUCUGACCUUGUGGGAUUCAUAGCCUAGUGGGAAGUUGAGAAUUUAGCAAAUAAUUACGCAAAUGAAUACAUAAAUACAAAUUGUGAUAAGCCUUAAGAAAGCCAGUAAUUGUAAGAUCAAAAAGAGAACGAGAAGGUGCUAAUUUAGAGUAGGAGGCAGAAUAGCAUUUCUGAAAAAGUGGUGUUUGCCAGAGAUUGCAAGGCUGAGUAGAAUUAAACAGUAUGAGGGGAGGUGUGAGGCAAGAAAGGACUUGGCUCCAUUAAGCCAGGUUUCAGGAUUCAGGGAAUGGGGCAAUGGAGAGGAGAAGUAGGAGAUGCGAUUGAGGAGGUAGUCUGGGCCUGUGUCAUGUUGAAUUUAAGAAAUAUUAUGGAUGACAAAACCCGCAAAGGAAAGCCAUUGACUUUUUUCGUCAGAGAUGGGGCCUGAUCUUGGUGUCUCCCACAAUGCUCUGGGGAGAACCUAGGGCAGGGGCACCAGGAACCUGGAGCAUCCUCAGGGAGACGUGGACCAGGUGGGGGGCCAUGGAGACAGAAGGGUGAGGGGGAAACGCUGCGGGAGGUGGAAUAGGCAGGCCUGGGGAUGGUUUAGAUGCCAAUGUGUGGCACGAGUGACUUUCUGAGCAAGAGCAGAGGGGUAGAUGCUCAGAUGAUGGACAAUGGAGGAGGAACCGUUUUUCUAGAGAGGAUGAAAAGUUCAGUUUUGGACAUGGAAGGUACAUUUGAGGUGACUGCAAAGAUGUCUAAGGGCAAGUGUCAGUACACUGUUGAUUGUCUAAGUCUGGAGGCCAGAAAAAGGUUCUGAGCUCAAGGUAUAAAUUUAGGAGUUGUUAGCAUACAAAUGAAAUCCUCAUUCCCUCUCUCUGUCCUCUCAUUAUUAUUUGUAAAAGUUUAUUUUUCUGAAGUGUUGUUGGUUUACAAUGUUCUGGUAAUUUCUGCUGUGCAACAAAGUGUUUCCAAUUUGUGUACACACACACACACACACACACACACACACAUAUUCUUUUUCAUAUCCUUUUCCAUUAUGGUUUAUCACAGUAUAUUGAACACAGUUCUCUGUGCUAUACAAUUGGAUCUUAUUUAUCCAUCCUGUAUAUAAUAGUUUGCAUCUGCUGAUCCCAAACUCCCAAUCUAUCCCUCCCUCCCCCUUGGCAACCACAAGUCUGUGCUCUAUGUGAGUCUAUUUCUGUUUCAUAGAUAAGUUCAUUUGUGCCAUAUUUUGGAUUCCACAUAUAAGUGAUAGCAUAUGGUAUUUGUCCUUCUCUUUCUGACUUACUUAGUAUGAUGAUCUCUAGGUCCAUCCAUGUUGCUGCAAAUGGCAUUGUUUCAUUCUUUUCGGUUGCUCUCUCAUUUUUGGGAAAACUGUUGACCUUAUUUGCUAGAAUCUUUCUGGACAGUUGCCAAGCUAAAUAUAAGUCACAGAUGAGCUAUAUUUGUGGAAUGCUAGAGGCCUUCUCAGUUCUGCUAUAACAAGAUAUAUACAUUCCUCAAAAUGGAAGUACUAUGAAAAUUGUGUGAUGAAAAACACAGAGUUUAUUGGAGAAGUGGGUCAUAACACUCAAAAAUUUCAUCAGUUUCCAUCAUCAAAAACUUCGUAUAUAUAAGAACCUAAUAAAAAUGGUAGCAUAGUUUUACAUGUUAGAUGAUUGAGAAAUAUGUUAAGUACUACAAUAAACAUGGCAGUUAGUCUUGAGAAGGAUCUGAAGUUUGUGGAAAUGGGCAUCAGAAGGGCUACAACUUGUGAGUUGUUGUGAAGUAUGAAAGGACCAUAUCUGAAGUCAGAUGGAAAGUUCGAGUCAUAUCAUAUGACUCAACAUUAAAUCCUGGGACAUGUUUUUCUGCCUUUGAGAUGUAGGUCCUUCUAGGCAUACAAUAUAAUAGAUACUUGUUUCUUAAAAAAUAAAAAAAAAAUUGCCUAAAAUAUAGUCUUUUUCUUCAAUUAACUUCAGUAUCACUGCUGGAAAUUUUGUGUGCCGUUUUUUGUUCAUACUUAUGGCUUCAUCAAACAAUUGAAGGCUUUGGAAAUUUUAGCCAAGUUUAAAACCACUGACCAUGCCACUGUGAUUUAAAAGCUGUAAUCUAAACGAGGUCACUUUCGGGUGCAGGGAUUUCUGUGGAAGGUCUUUGUGGUGUGUAGUUCUUUCUCUGUGAUCAUCAGAAAGAUUGCAAUUUUCUUCUAUUUGGUCUUCAUUCCUUAUGCUUAAAAAUCUUUCUAUUUUUCUGCUUCUUUAGGUCUUAUUCUUACUGAUUUUUUAGCAUUUGAAAUAUUUCAACCAUAAACCUUCUAUUUCCCAGUGUUGUCUCUAUUGCUCAAGAAAUAUCACCCAUUCCCUUGUUUCUUUCAAAAUAUUUUAUCCUUUUGAGCUUCUCUUCAAUCCUCAAAGCUUUCCUUUUACAUGCAUAGGUUAGAAUUUGAACCAUAUAGACAUAUCAAAGAUGAUGAAUGUAUUUUUAAAGAACCAAGUUUACAAAUGCAAAAGAAUAGUGAUAAACCUUGCAAUUUAAUGUGUGCAUUAACACAGAGAGUUAGUAAGUGUUCAAAGUGUGUGCGUGAAUAUGUUUAUGCAUUUGGACUCAUCUCAGUUCAGCUGGGUGCAAUUUUUUUUUACCUUCAUGUAGUUUUUCCUGCUGAUAAAAUCAUGCAUAAGUAAGGGUGAAAUUUGCAUUAUACUCAACUCUUCUCUAAUAUAUCAAUUACUUCGGAACACAUUUGCGUUUUCAAAACAAGCAUUAUAGAAGAACUGACGGUAUUUACUUUCCUCUUAUGCUCAAAUUUUCCCAAUAGAAUAUACAAGUUUUGGAAAAUAGAAGUACUUGUAAUAGACCAGGAAACAAAUUUUACUUCUGAAAAUUUGUAGUGAGAUGGAAAAUGUUAGUGAAAUACGCAGUAAGUGGAUUAACUGUAUGAUUUAUACUCUAGAUCUUGAGUGACUUUUUGGGGAGGAGGGGUGUGUAGGUGCAGCAUAUGGAAAUUCCCAGGGUAGGAAUUGAAUCAGAGCUACAGCUGCUGGCCUACACCACAGCUACAGCAAUGUCAGAUCCCAGUCUCUGCUCGAGGCAACACUGGAUCUUUAACCCACUGAGCCACUGAGGAGGCCAGGGAUUGAACCCACAUCCUCACAGGUACUAGUUGGGUUUGUGCCUGCUGAGCUACAAUAGGAACUCUCGAGUGACAUUUUUUUAACCUCAAUUUUGCAAUAAUUUAAUUGGACUUGACAAGAAAUGACAGUUUUUCAUUUAUAAGUGUAUCACAGAAAAUUUUCUUUCUUCUCUUCCUUAUUUUCUUCCUUUUUCUAUCUGUUUAUCUAUUCAUCUGUUUGCCUUGUGUUAAUUCAAUCCAAACAGAGGUGCAUAUGUGGCAAAUACAAGAACUCCAGAAGAGAAUUUGAGAUCAUUUUAAAUUUAGAAAAUCCCAAUUUUAGCUGCAAUAGGAAUGAACUAUACAUGGAAUUUAAAAGAAACUCUAUUAACCUUUACAUCAACUUUAUUUUGCACAUAUUUCUAUAAAGGAUCUGGUAUUUUAAUUUUGCACUCUGUGACAAAUAAAAACUGGUUGCUCUGCUGAUAAAUUAUAUUUUGUUUGAAAACUACUAAAAUUAGAAUUCUUAACAGCUGAUUGUAAGAAACUCACAACUCAUUUUUAGAAAAAUUGUAGAUUAUUUAUUUCCACCAUAAAAUGAGUCCAAGUUUAGUAAAACUGAAAGUUAAAUUCAAAAUCUCUCUCUCUCACACACACAUACUCCAGACUAAUGGGAAAUUACUGUUUAUUAUGCAUUUUCCUUGGUACAAAAAUUCUGCUAGGUACUUUUACAUGUUUUCUCUAAUCUUCACCAUAAGGCGAUAGGAAUAAACUUAAAAAAUUAGAAAUAAUGCACAUUGACCUAUAAUCUUUACAUUUAAGAAACUAAAUUCCAAAACCCCCCAGGAAUUCAAAAAGUUGAAAGGUACGGUACUUGUAUAGGGAAGAUAUUUUUUCUUUGCCAUGGCUGAGUUUGUUAGAUUCUUUACCAUGCUAUAUGUGCCUUGACAUGGGUUAAAAAUGAGUAAAAAAGAAAAAGAAAAAAAAAA